GGACGAACGCUGGCGGCGUGCCUAAUACAUGCAAGUCGAGCGGACCGGAUUGGGGCUUGCCUUGAUUCGGUCAGCGGCGGACGGGUGAGUAACACGUGGGCAACCUGCCCGCAAGACCGGGAUAACUCCGGGAAACCGGAGCUAAUACCGGAUAACACCGAAGACCGCAUGGUCUUCGGUUGAAAGGCGGCCUUUGGGCUGUCACUUGCGGAUGGGCCCGCGGCGCAUUAGCUAGUUGGUGAGGUAACGGCUCACCAAGGCGACGAUGCGUAGCCGGCCUGAGAGGGUGACCGGCCACACUGGGGCUGAGACACGGCCCAGACUCCUACGGGAGGCAGCAGUAGGGAAUCUUCCGCAAUGGGCGAAAGCCUGACGGAGCGACGCCGCGUGAGCGAAGAAGGCCUUCGGGUCGUAAAGCUCUGUUGUGAGGGACGAAGGAGCGCCGUUCGAAGAGGGCGGCGCGGUGACGGUACCUCACGAGAAAGCCCCGGCUAACUACGUG
rnacentral:rRNA from 1 species